rnacentral:rRNA from 1 species
GACGAACGCUGGCGGCGUGCCUAACACAUGCAAGUCGAACGGAAAGGCCCUGCGAUUGUGGGGUGCCCGAGGGGCGAACGCGGGAGUAAGACGCGAGCAACCUGCCCUAGAUUUUGGGAUAACAUCAGGAAACUGGGCCUACUACCGUACAGCAGCCCCUGUUGCAUGGUGGGGGGUGGAAAGUCUCGGCGGUUGGGGAUGGACUCGCGGCUUACCAGCUAGUUGGUGGGGUAGUGGCUGACCAAGGCUUUGACGGGUAGCCGGCCUGAGAGGGUGACCGGCGACAUUGGGACUGAGAUAGGGACCAGACGCCUACGGGGGGCAGCAGGGGGGAAUAUUGCACAACGAGCGGGAGCCGGAUGAAGCAGCGCCGGGUGCGGGAUGACGGCCUUCGGGGUAUGAACCGCUUUCGCCUAUGACGAAGCGUGAGUGGCGGUAAUGGGUAAAGAAGCACCGGCUAACUACGUG